UACAGGGGGGGCAAGCGUUGUUCGGAAUUACUGGGCGUAAAGGGCUCGUAGGCGGUCCAUCGCGUCGGGAGUGAAAAGCUGGGGCUCAACCCCAGUCCUGCUUUCGAUACGGGUGGACUAGAGGUAGGCAGGGGAGAACGGAAUUUCUGGUGUAGCGGUGAAAUGCGCAGAUAUCAGGAGGAACACCGAUGGCGAAGGCAGGUCUCUGGGCCACUACUGACGCUGAGAAGCGAAAGCAUGGGGAGCGAACAGG
rnacentral:rRNA from 1 species